GAAGGAAUAGCUCAGUGGUAGAGCGCGUGCUUAGCGUGCACGAAGUCCUGGGUUCAAUCCCCAAUGCCUCCU
rfam:Camelus ferus unplaced genomic scaffold scaffold859, whole genome shotgun sequence.